rnacentral:lncRNA from 1 species
GAAAAUGAAGAAUUCCUUAAGUUCUCACUUGAAAAUUUGAUUUGUAAGGGAACUGGAAGUUUUCCUGCUGAGUGCUCCAUGUGUAAGAGAGUUGACCUUCUGUUUUCUGAAGUUACUUUAAGGAUCAUGUUUCAGAAGGAAAACAAGCCUGGCAUAGAAACCACUUCAGCGCCUGUUUAUCCAGCACGCAGGGUGAGGACACUAUUAGGCGUGAAAAAACAAUUUCAUGGGUAUUAGGCUAUAGUUCCAGGACUCACCUUCAAGGACUGAGGGUCUUAGGCUGCUGCUAUGAGGAUGUCAAUGCCAGUGUCCCUGAGGAAGAGGCCAGAUUGAAUAUUGCUGAAUUUGUUUUCUGAAUAAAUAUUUAGAAACAGCCACCCUUCACUUUUCAUCUUUUUGCCUGCACACCUGAUUAAACAUUUAUAAAAAUAACUGCAAAGUGAAAUUAUCACCACAAUGAGGACCAGAUGCAAUUGUACCUCCUGGAGAAGAGAGUGAAGUGGAUGUGGAAGAAAAGCAUGUAGGGAUGAUCAGGAACGGAGACACGUGGGGGCGAUGAGAGAUGGGUCUCAGCAGAAGACUGGGGAGGUCAUUCUGGAACCAUUCCUGUCUCUCGACCAGGACUGGCAGGCUCAGGCUGAGCCAAGAACUCAUAAAUACCUCUAGUAAGUGAGUUAAUCAUUUAAUAAAUACGGAAACUAUGCAUGGGCCUCAAGGUUAAAGGUGAAUGGGCAGGGUUUCAAAAACAAUUUCAUUAAGUAGACAAUAAUAGACUACAACUGAUGGCUUGUGUUCCCACAUUAAAACAAAAAACUCUUUCAAAUGAACUAAUGCACCCUGGGUUCAAAAUAAUAAAAAGAUAUUAGAAGACUGAGAAAAACUGAAAUAUUAAGAUAUAAGUAAAAGAACCAUAUGAUAUGUAGCAUAUAGCAGAUAUUGGAAAGCUACUUGUGUAUAUAUUAAUCUUGCUGAAUAGAGAUAGUGGUUCUAUGAGGUCAGGGCCUUGUCUUCAUCUUUCUGUUCCUCACAGCAUGUGUGAUUAAGUUGAAUUCAAUACACGGGAAUUCAGUUCAAUUCCAUGUAACACUUGCAUUGUGGUUAUGCAUUGUGUAAUUCAGAAAAAAAUCAAUAAAAUUGUCUAUAGUAUCAA